UGCAAGUCGAGCGGUAUAUACUUAAAUGAAACUUCGGUCGAGUGAGAGUAUAGAGAGCGGCGGACGGGUGAGUAACGCGUAGGCAACCUGCCCCAUACAGAGGGAUAGCCUCGGGAAACCGGGAUUAAAACCUCAUAACGCCAAGAGUUCACAUGGGCUUUUGGCCAAAGAUUUAUCGGUAUGGGAUGGGCCUGCGUCUGAUUAGCUAGUUGGUGGGGUAACGGCCUACCAAGGCAACGAUCAGUAGCCGACCUGAGAGGGUAAUCGGCCACAUUGGAACUGAGACACGGUCCAAACUCCUACGGGAGGCAGCAGUGGGGAAUAUUGCACAAUGGGCGAAAGCCUGAUGCAGCAACGCCGCGUGAGCGAUGAAGGCCUUUGGGUCGUAAAGCUCUGUCCUUGGGGAAGAAAAAAAUGACGGUACCCUUGGAGGAAGCCCCGGCUAACUACGUGCCAGCAGCCGCGGUAAUACGUAGGGGGCAAGCGUUAUCCGGAAUUAUUGGGCGUAAAGAGUGCGUAGGUGGUUUUAUAAGCGCGGGGUGAAAGGCUAUGGCUCAACCAUAGUAAGCCUUGCGAACUGUAAGACUUGAGUGCAGGAGAGGAAAGUGGAAUUCCUAGUGUAGCGGUGAAAUGCGUAGAUAUUAGGAGGAACACCAGUGGCGA
rnacentral:rRNA from 1 species